GACGAACGCUGGCGGCGUGCCUAAUACAUGCAAGUCGAACGCAGUGGGGACGGGUGAGUAACACGUGGGUAACCUCCCAUCAGAGGGGAUAACACUUGGAAACAGGUGCUAAACUGAUACUGAUGGAUGGACCCGCGGUGCAUUAGCUAGUUGGUGAGGUAAAGGCUCACCAAGGCCACGAUGCAUAGCCGACCUGAGAGGGGGAUCGGCCAAACGGGGACUGAGACACGGCCCAGACUCCUACGGGAGGCAGCAGUGGGGAAUCUUCGGCAAUGGGCGAAAGUCUGACCGAGCCACGCCGCGUGAGUGAAGAAGGUUUUCGGGUCGUAAAACUCUGUUAGUAGGGAAGCGGUAUCUAAACAGAAAGCCACGGCUAACUACGUGCCAGCAGCCGCGGUAAUUC
rnacentral:rRNA from 1 species